UACGUAGGGCGCAAGCGUUGUCCGGAAUUAUUGGGCGUAAAGAGCUCGUAGGUGGUUUGUUACGUCUGCUGUGAAAACCUAGGGCUUAACCCUGGGCCUGCAGUGGAUACGGGCAGACUAGAGGUAGGUAGGGGAGAAUGGAAUUCCCGGUGUAGCGGUGAAAUGCGCAGAUAUCGGGAGGAACACCGGUGGCGAAGGCGGCGACCUGGAUAGAUACUGACACUCAACUACGAAAGCGUGGGGAGCAAACAGG
rnacentral:rRNA from 1 species